UGAUUUGUCAACGCCGAUACCGAUUAUUGGAGGACCAACAUCAGGGUAGAGGUCGACCGAUUAUGUAGAGGUGUUAGUAGUUCUCUGAAGGGAAGCCAUCGGGGUAGAGGUAGACCGAUUAUGUAGAGGUGUUAGUAGUUCUCUGAAGGGAAGCCAUCGGGGUAGAGGUCGACCGAUUAUGAUUUGUCAACGCCGAUACCGAUUAUUGGAGGACCAA